GAUGAACGCUGGCGGCGUGCCUAGUACAUGCAAGUCGAGCGAAUGGAUUAAGAGCUUGCUCUUAUGAAGUUAGCGGCGGACGGGUGAGUAACACGUGGGUAACCUGCCCAUAAGACUGGGAUAACUCCGGGAAACCGGGGCUAAUACCGGAUAACAUUUUGAACCGCAUGGUUCGAAAUUGAGAGGCGGCUUCGGCUGUCACUUAUGGAUGGACCCGCGUCGCAUUAGCUAGUUGGUGAGGUAACGGCUCACCAAGGCAACGAUGCGUAGCCGACCUGAGAGGGGGAUCGGCCAAACUGGGACUGAGACACGGCCCAGACUCCUACGGGAGGCAGCAGUAGGGAAUCUUCCGCAAUGGACGAAAGUCUGACGGAGCAACGCCGCGUGAGUGAUGAAGGCUUUCGGGUCGUAAAACUCUGUUGUUAGGGAAGAACAAGUGCUAGUUGAAUAAGCUGGCACCUUGACGGUACCUAACCAGAAAGCCACGGCUAACUACGUGCCAGCCGCCGCAGUAA
rnacentral:rRNA from 1 species